AACCAAAAGAGCCGAUAUCCGGUUUAGAUGAAAAGAGUCUGUAUUCCUCAUCUUCUCUUUCGGAAUCCCUCAUCUGUCACAGCACAGUCCCUGUAUGCGACUAUCGACUCCAAUUUGUCAUCAUAAUACAGCCGACUGUCGCGUGUGUCUCUUCUUCUGUCUCUAUGUUU
ensembl:snoRNA F18A1.11 ncRNA